UCCAGACUCCUACGGGAGGCAGCAGUGAGGAAUAUUGGUCAAUGGGCGGGAGCCUGAACCAGCCAAGCCGCGUGAGGGAAGAAGGUACAGCGUAUCGUAAACCUCUUUUGUCAGGGAACAAAGGCGGGGACUAGUCCCCGGAUGAGGGUACCUGAAGAAAAAGCAUCGGCUAACUCCGUGCCAGCAGCCGCGGUAAUACGGAGGAUGCGAGCGUUAUCCGGAUUUAUUGGGUUUAAAGGGUGCGUAGGCGGAAUAUCAAGUCAGCGGUAAAAAUUCGGGGCUCAACCCCGUCGUGCCGUUGAAACUGAUGUUCUUGAGUGGGCGAGAAGUAUGCGGAAUGCGUGGUGUAGCGGUGAAAUGCAUAGAUAUCACGCAGAACUCCGAUUGCGAAGGCAGCAUACCGGCGCCCAACUGACGCUGAAGCACGAAAGCGUGGGUAUCGAACAGGAUUAGAUACCCUCGUAC
rnacentral:rRNA from 1 species